rnacentral:rRNA from 1 species
UCCAGACUCCUACGGGAGGCAGCAGUGAGGAAUAUUGGUCAAUGGGCGCGAGCCUGAACCAGCCAAGUCGCGUGAGGGAAGACGGUCCUAUGGAUUGUAAACCUCUUUUGUCGGGGAGCAAAAGACGCCACGCGUGGCGUUCCGAGAGUACCCGAAGAAAAAGCAUCGGCUAACUCCGUGCCAGCAGCCGCGGUAAUACGGAGGAUGCGAGCGUUAUCCGGAUUUAUUGGGUUUAAAGGGUGCGUAGGCGGGACCUUAAGUCAGCGGUAAAAUUGCGGUGCUCAACGCCGUAGAGCCGUUGAAACUGGGGUUCUUGAGUGAGCGAGAGGUAUGCGGAAUGCGUGGUGUAGCGGUGAAAUGCAUAGAUAUCACGCAGAACCCCGAUUGCGAAGGCAGCAUACCGGCGCUCAACUGACGCUGAGGCACGAAAGUGCGGGUAUCGAACAGGAUUAGAUACCCCUGUAC